UACGGGGGGGGCAAGCGUUGUUCGGAAUUACUGGGCGUAAAGGGCUCGUAGGCGGCCAACUAAGUCGGACGUGAAAUCCCCAGGCUCAACCUGGGAACUGCGUCCGAUACUGGAUGGCUUGAAUUCGGGAGAGGGAUGCAGAAUUCCUGGUGUAGCGGUGAAAUGCGCAGAUAUCAGGAGGAACACCGGUGGCGAAGGCGGGUCUCUGGGCCGGAACUGACGCUAAGGAGCGAAAGCGUGGGGAGCGAACAGG
rnacentral:rRNA from 1 species